rnacentral:rRNA from 1 species
UACGGAAGGCAGCAGUGGGGAAUAUUGCACAAUGGGCGAAAGCCUGAUGCAGCUAUGCCGCGCGUAUGAAGAAGGCCUUAGGGUUGUAAAGUACUUUCAUCGGGGAGGAAAAAACAAAACUAAUAAUUUUAUUUCUUGACGUUACCCGAAAAAGAAGCACCGGCUAACUCCGUGCCAGCAGCCGCGGUAAUACGGAGGGUGCUAGCGUUAAUCAGAAUUACUGGGCGUAAAGAGCACGUAGGUGGUUUUUUUAAAGUCAGAUGUGAAAUCCCUGGGCUUAACCUAGGAACUGCAUUUUGAAACUGAAAUACUAGAGUAUCGUAGAGGGAGGUAGAAUUCUAGGUGUAGCGGUGAAAUGCGUAGAUAUCUGGAGGAAUACCUGUGGCGAAAGCGGCCUCCUAAACGAAUACUGACACUGAGGUGCGAAAGCGUGGGGAGCAAACAGGGAUUAGAUACC